rnacentral:rRNA from 1 species
AUUGAACGCUGGCGGCAGGCCUAACACAUGCAAGUCGAGCGGUUGAAGGGAGCUUGCUCCUUGAUUCAGCGGCGGACGGGUGAGUAAUGCCUAGGAAUCUGCCUAGAAGUGGGUGAUAACGUCCAGACACGGGCGCUAAUACCGCAUACGUCCUGAGGUAGAAAGUGAGGGAUCUUCGACCCUCACCAUAUCAAAUGAGCCUAGGUCGGAUUAGCUAGUUGGCGGGGUAAAGUCGUAACAAGGCGACGAUCCGUAAGUGGUAUGAGAGGAUGAUCAGUCACACUGGAAGUGAGACAGGGUCGAGACUCCUAAGGGAGGAAGCAGUGGGGACUAUUGGACGAUGGGGGAAAGCCUGAUCCAGCCAUGCCGAGUGUGUGCAGAAGGUCUUCGGAUUGUAAAGCACUUUAAGUUGGGAGGAAGGGAAGUAAGUUAAUACCUUGCUGUUUUGACGUUACCAACAGAAUAAGCACCGGCUAACUUCGUG